AUUCUCCUUGCUUUACUUGGCCCACACACUUGUAACAAUAUCACUUCCAAUGUAUCUACUUCACUCAGCCCUUUGCAUAUGAAAUCCUUCUAAUGCCUUUGAAACUCCUUUGUCUCCUCGGAAAUCACAAAGUCAAUUUCUAGCAAACAAGAGAAAUCCAAUUGAAGCUCAAUUCUUGGAACGGGUGAUAUUCCAAUAAGAUUGUGUUCUGGAAUCAAAUUUUCAACAACCUGCUAACCAAACUAAGGAGGGAAUUGUUAAUUUUCACCACGGCCUCCUCAACUUCAGGCUUCCUUUCAAUUAAAGUCGAUUCCAACUCCUCGUUUCCUUUCGAAGACUCUUCUUCAUUUUCUUUUCGCAGAUCCACUUCCCCUUUUAGAUUUUCACUCUCAACUUAUUUUUCACUCUCCUUUGGUCGUUCUCCUUUUAGCUCAUAACUAACCACUUCAUAAUUUUCUCUCUUACACUUUUGUUCCUCCAUGUGAAUUUUCUGAGAGUUAAUCAGGUCAUGAAUCUCUGAGAGCUUACGCUUCUAAUCCAACCCAGUCCUCCUGCUAGAUGUAUGAUCAACAUGCUUCACAAACGAUGUUUUCUCUUCCCUUGAAUACCCAACUCCACUAUAUCUUCUAGGCUCCUCUCUAGAUUCCCGCACACGCGGAUCCUGCUUAUAAUAAUAAUUAGGCGCAUAUCACUUCCUUAUUAUAGUCCUCAAUUCAUCCCAAGUUUCAAUACGCCUCUCUCUGUUCCUCUGCUUAAAUUCUGAUCCCACCAAGUAAUUACGUAAUCCACAAACGCAUUUACU
rnacentral:lncRNA from 1 species